rnacentral:rRNA from 1 species
GCACCUUCGGUGUCCGAGUUGUAAUCUCUAGAAAUGUUUUCCGCGUUGGACCGCACACAAGUCUGUUGGAAUACAGCGGCAUAGUGGUGAGACCCCCGUAUAUGGUGCGGACGCCCAGCGCUUUGUGAUACAUUUUCGAAGAGUCGAGUUGUUUGGGAAUGCAGCUCAAAUUGGGUGGUAAAUUCCAUCUAAAGCUAAAUAUUGGCGAGAGACCGAUAGCGAACAAGUACCGUGAGGGAAAGAUGAAAAGCACUUUGGAAAGAGAGUUAACAGUACGUGAAAUUGUUGGAAGGGAAACGCUUGAAGUCAGACUUGCUUGCUGAGCAAUCGGUUUGCAGGCCAGCAUCAGUUUUCCGGGAUGGAUAAUGGUAGAGAGAAGGUAGCAGUUUCGGCUGUGUUAUAGCUCUCUGCUGGAUACAUCUUGGGGGACUGAGGAACGCAGUGUGCCUUUGGCGGGGGUUUCGACCUCUUCACACUUAGGAUGCUGGUGGAAUGGCUUU